CAAGUCGAACGAGAAAGUGGAGCAAUCCAUGAGUACAGUGGCGUACGGGUGAGUAACACGUGGGUAAUCUACCUCUUAGUGGGGAAUAACGAUGGGAAACCGUCGCUAAUACCGCAUAAGCUCGAGAGAGGAAAGCAGCAAUGCGCUGAGAGAGGAGCCCGCGGCCGAUUAGCUAGUUGGCAGGGUAAAAGCCUACCAAGGCAAAGAUCGGUAGCCGGCCUGAGAGGGCACACGGCCACACUGGCACUGAAACACGGGCCAGACUCCUACGGGAGGCGGCAGUGGGGAAUCUUGCACAAUGGGGGAAACCCUGAUGCAGCGACGCCGCGUGAGCGAUGAAGCCCUUCGGGGUGUAAAGCUCUUUCGGCAGGGAAGAUUAUGACGGUACCUGCAGAAGCAGCUGCGGCUAACUACGUGCCAGCAGCCGCGGUAAUACGUAGGCAGCAAGCGUUGUUCGGAGUUACUGGGCGUAAAGGGUGUGUAGGCGGUUGUUUAAGUUUGGUGUGAAAUCUCCCGGCUCAACUGGGAGGGUGCGCCGAAUACUGAAUGACUCGAGUGCGGGAGAGGUGAGUGGAAUUCCUGGUGUAGCGGUGAAAUGCGUAGAUAUCAGGAGGAACACCGGUGGUGUAGACGGCUCACUGGACCGUAACUGACGCUGAAACACGAAAGCGUGGGUAGCAAACAGGAUUAGAUACCCUGGUAGUCCACGCCCUAAACGAUGCAUAUUUGGUGUGGGCAGUUCAUUCUGUCCGUGCCGGAGCUAACGCGUUAAAUAUGCCGCCUGGGGAGUACAGUCGCAAGGCUGAAACUCAAAGGAAUUGACGGGGGCCCGCACAAGCGGUGGAGCAUGUGGUUCAAUUCGACGCAACGCGAAGAACCUUACCUGGGCUCGAACGGCUGGUCA
rnacentral:rRNA from 1 species